UCAGGAAGCGCUCAUCGCUCUCCUCAGGAAGCCCUCGCCUCAGGAACCGCCAUCCCUCACCUCAGAGCCCCGCACCUCGGUUCCCCCUCAGGAAAGGCUCCCUUGGUGCCAGGGGAAAGGGAAGGAGCCGCUGUCCCCUCACCUUUGUGCAGGUGUGAUCUCCCAGUUGCAGCAGUGCCAUGUCAGCCCAGGAAGGAGGGAAAGGUUAGCAACAUGUAUGGAAUGAAAUGGUUGACAGCAGUGUAGGAAAGCAGAAGAACUCAAUAACUAUUCCUGGUCUGUUUUUGGGGGAAGAGCCAUAUGAUACACAAAUAUCAGAUGAUGAUGAUGGUGAUGAUGAUGAUGAAAUACAUUCCAUGACAACAAGCACUGAGGAGGAUGUUAAACAGAAGCUAAUGAAGCUGGCUAUCAGCAGGUCCAGAUCUGCAGGUCUGUGAACCUGAGGGAGGAGAGGGAAAGCUGCUGGUCUCGGUCAGAGAAGGAAGGAUGCAGAGAGAAGGAGCCCAGUGAGUGCUGGGGCAAAGGAAGGCAGAGGAUGAGGGACAGCAGGAGCAGUGAGGACACACAUCUUCAAUGAAGCUCACAGUUUCUGUUGGAGGCAGUGUGUGUGGGAUGGAUCCUGUCAUCCAUGUCAUCAUGCUGGGCCACUGUUACUGUUUCUGUAAGGAAGAAGCUCUGAGCCUUGUAACUGGACUUUACUGCCAUUCACAACUACUGAAAACCAGCUGCCAUUAAUUUUAACCCAUGGAGGUUUAAGGUAAAGGGACACCUUUUAUGCAGUGUUUUUACAGAGAACAGUCUAACAAAGGAGGUAGUGUCCAGGAAGGCCCAUUACACAGUGCAGUGAUGCACCAUUAAUGGAACAUUGUGUUCUCCCCUGAGCACUCACCUUCUGUGUUUGACAGGCAAUCCUUGGGGUCCAAGCAUUAGCCCACAGUGGCUGGGAUGGCAUUGGCUCCAGCCCCUUCCCCUAAUGGUGGAAAAUAUUCCACUGGUUGCAGUUGUACAAGCUGAGCAAAUGCUUCACAUACCAGCCUGUGCUGGCCUCCUUAUUCAUGGAAACAUGUUUGAAAUUCCCAUUUGCCAGGUGUGGUGCUAGACAUGGACUGGACAAAUCUAGAAUCCUGCAGACACUGGAAUGUAGCAAGGGGGGUGAAACUGAUGAUGAUCUUUAAUGUCCCCUCAAAACUGUCAUGAUUUCUUAUAGAUAUUAAGUCACAAAAAUUGAGUGAAGAAACAAUAGUGUCACUGGUUUUAUGUAAAAAUCUCCUGACAAAAUACAACCAGUAAUUAUUCUAGGCAGGCAUGCCCACUUCCCACAGGUUCAUUUCUCUUUCCCUAAUCCAUAUGAGGGUGAAAAAGACCCAAACAAAUGACAAAAAAAUCUGAAACACACAUGCUCAUCUUGAUCAUGUCAUUUAUUGAGUCAGCAGUGAUGGCAAACGGGGAAUCAAUCGUUCUUACCGUCACAGGCAAACCCCACCACCAAAUGCCAUGGAAGGGCACACACACUCCUCCUGCUUGUCCCAUGAACUCCACAGCUCUGCUGGAACCUUCCUGUUCUCCUGGCACUGGUUUGCCUUUGCAGCAGUGUAGCAACUCCCUGCUCAAGCAAAAAGACAUUGCUUCACCGGGUGUAAUUAAGCCUAUAAAAAAACCACCUCAGGCUUAUUUAUGCCUUGCUAAAUCACAUGAUUCAGAUUUUGUGGAGUGCUGUGAGUCAGACACUUGGGAAGGCCUGACCAGCUAUUUCCUCAACAUCUCAGUGAGACAUGUCUCUGUGUUGUUCAUGUUUGUACCUCAGCAAACAGUCAGGUGAAUGCUUUGAGUCUGCUAAAAAGGCUGGUACCCCAUUUCAAAGUGCCAGAACCCUUGCAAACAAUUUUGACUAUGAUACAGAAUUAAAGAGGGCACAGUAAAUAACAGCACAUACAUCAAGAAGCUCCACUCUUGGGGGAGAGAGUGGGGGGUGAAAAAGAAAAAUGCUCUUUGGCAUCUUUGACAUCUGGCUUUUAUUUUGCUUUCAUCAAUCCAGAGAGACAUUCCAAGUAUAAAACUUGCAAAUGUUUCUGCUUUAACAGGAUUACUUAAAUAUGGUAGGAACAACUGUUAAAGCUUGUUUUUAUUGUGCAAGUAGACCAAUGCACGUAAUUCCUCCUGCAGUAAUUUUUCAUGGGGCUGCUUAUGAGGACAGGAGUAAUUGAGGACAAGUAUUUAAUCACCUCUCUCUUAUCAUGGCUUAUCUAAGUGUUAAGAUAAAAGGGCAAAAAUUGAACCAAGGCACAUCUCAUACAAAUUUUAACGCAGAUUAAUGUCUCAACAGAGAAACUAAUAAAAAGAAUUGCUCACCAUAUUUAUUCAAUGCAAGUGAAUUCUUGUUCUGAGUAGUUACUACUUUCCUUUUUUCUCUUCCAACAAAUACUGGCCAUCCUGAACCACAAUGAACAUGAGGACCUGAGCAGUUUGAAAGUAUCAGCACACUGUGAGGGCAGUCAAAUCCAGUAGUCCUGUUUCUCAGAAAAUACCACAACAGCUAUAGAGAAAGUAAGAUGACAGAACUGCAGUCACACAAAGGCAAACACAGUGAGUAUGCAUUCCUGAUGGUGCUACUGUGAGCCAUUGAGGAAAUGGAAGUAUAAGACACCUAAAACCUUUUAUUACAGUUUACUGCAAAUCCAGGAAGUGCUUGUGCAGAUUAAAACCAGUAAGACUGUGUGCAUUUUUCAUGGAAGAGUUUCCAUCAGUUAAGAUGCUAAUGAUAUUUGUCUGCUUGUAGCCAAAGAACAAGCAAGCUUGUUCAAAGAACUCACCAGGUUCUCAGCGACCCAGACUGCAUUAUAAAAAUCCCCUAUAAUUUACAAAAUCAUCAGGAUAGAACAUGUAUUCCACUAGAAACAAUAGCUAGAUUAUCCCUUCAAAUCUGACUACAGCCUUUAAAAGAAAAACGAGUGUCUGGAAUAUUUUUAUGGAAAACCUAUUUCAAGGUUCUCAGGAGAACUGAGCUGGAAAAAUCACCGUGUAAUGGGAUAAACUAUUACAAUUUCAGGGCUGCAAGUGGCCAACAUGAUUUCUCAGUGCACACUGCCAAUGAAAGCAACCCUGUAACUCAAAGGGCAGGAGAAGACUUAGAGGCAAUACUAUCCCUCUGUGCAAAAGUUAAUAAUUUACAAGAACACUGAAAUCAUGCUGCUGAAAGGUGAUAGAGUAAAGACUAGAAAAUACCACAUUCCCUGUUUUUCAGAAGACUGACAUCACUUUUGUGUCAAAAUAAAAGGAAGCCUCAGCAAAUUGCCCAAAUAUCCAGCAUGAGAUCAUAAGAAAACCUGAUGCCUUUCAGUCAAACUGUGGAAGCAGGUUGUGGGAAACUUAAAGAUACAGAGGGGAAGAAAUCCUUAUUCAAAGUAAAAAUUAUUUUAGGCUGUAUUUGCAUGCUUUCAGAAACAUGCAAAAUGUCACUAAUUACAAGUGUCAAUCACAGAGCAAGCCAAGUCUCCAGCAAUAGAGCAAAGGUUUCAAAAUGAACAGAGCAGGAAUUUAGUUGCAUUGUUACUCCCUGGAGAUUAUAACAAUGCUGUAAGCAAACUAGGGUUAUUUUCAAUUCAACAGCAUGUGUCAGAAACCAUGUGAAACUAGAUCUUGUCACAAAAGUGGAAAUUCCAUAUUAAAUAUCUCAGUAAAUUUUAAAGUGAUUUUCAAUUAACAAGAACCUGCAGCAUGAAACAUCAAAACUUCAGCAGCUUGCCCCAGAAACUCAGUAUUCAUCUAGAAGGAGACGUGCAGGACAGGCUCACAGGGAAGGCUGUGCAGCUGUGGAGCAGAGGGGUGGCUGGGGCAGAGGGCACUGAGGGCACGCUGGGCUGCCCACGGUGCAGGCAAAGUCAACUGGACAGAAUCCCUGUUUCACAACAAAAAAUUCAGUAACAAACUGCAAGUUAAGAGGAGCUGACAGCAUCCUCCCCUCUUCCCAAACUGUGACCCUGGCAGCAGCAGCACAAGCUGCCCUACAGUGUCUUGCCAAGCCCCAGCAGCAGCAGGGCUCAAAGGCAGCUCAGUGCAGCCUGUGAGGCUGCUUUGCUGCUGGCCAUCCCCACCCAGCCUCCCUCCCUCUUAGGGGGUUAACCUCUGUCUCCCACACGUUUCAAGCUCAUUGGCAGGUGGUGAGGCAAAGGCAACAAGAUGGGCUCCUGUAGCUUCACAGCAAGCUGGUCCAGCUGACCUCAGGCAUCAGUUUGGGAAAGCAAAGGAAGGGGAAGCCUUGCUCUGUUGGCAGCAGAAAAGCCAGAGAUCAGUGAAAGCUUUUCAGGGAACUUCACUCUUGGUGUGCAAAGGUCUGGCAUCUUGCUGACAUCUGCUGAGCUUUUACAUCUUCACUUACAUGCCAGACAAUAAUUUGCAUUGCUUGGAAAUUUCCAGCUUCACACGUGGCCUCAAAAUGAGAUCUGCUGUUCUCAAAAUGUUGUUUGUGCCACGCUUCCCAAUGUCUGUAGAGAGCUGGUCUCACAGCACUGGCUCUUCUUUAUCAGAUAAGUUGCAUUAGACAGAAUCUAAAAAUACAUUAAAUACUUUCUAAUAUUACUUUUUGACAUAAGCAGUUACUAUAGCUGCAACAAGGAUGUUGCAAGAAAGUGCAUGAGGUUGCAUAACUCCUUUUAUUCAGCUGGGAUAUGUGCACUGAAAGGUCAAAAGGCCUUGGAAUAAGGUUUUUUGUUUCUAUGUUUGCCUUAGUAUUCAUACUUUAACAAAAAUAUCACAAACAACUUCAAGAACUCAAAUGAGCAGUUGAUCUCCUUUUACUUCAAAGAGGCAACUAAUUUAGCCUAGCUACAAAAAAAAACUACCUGCAAUGCAAAAUUCAGGGAGAUGCCAAUAUGUGAGAAUCUGACAGAUAACAGAUGACAAAAUCUGAGCAUCUGAGCAAGCUGGGGGUCUGUUGCUUAGUGAGAGGGAGUUUAACAGCACAGAGAACCCACCAAAUACUAUGUGUUUAUCACACAGAACUAGCUUUUUAUACCAAUUGCAGAGAUGUAGCUCCUUUGAAGAAACAUCCAGUUUGGUAUUCAUUAAUUUACAAAGCACAUAGAGGAGGUAGAGCAGUACUCCUGAAAUAAAGGCAAACCAAGGCCCUGGAAGAUGUACAAGCCUGUUUUUUCUUGUCCAGUAACAGUGCUGGAUGUGAAACGAAAGCCCCAAUAAUCCUGCUCUAGAUACCAACCCAAGCUUCCACCCAAACAUACCAAGAUUACCAAUUUUAGAAAUAAUGUCUUUGCUUGCUCCCCAAAUCCCUGACUGAUACUGCAGCCCUCAGGGUUCUGGAUAAAUCCAUUAAGUUCUUCAAUGUCUGCAAACUGGUCUUUAAAAGGGAGGGAUUAAUAAAAAUUAUUUAAUGGGAAAACAGUUAAAGGCAAAUAACCAUUCCCUGCACUUGUGCUGCCACUUCUGUGAAGCUGCUAUGGCUGCUGUUCUGAUGUGCUGCUUCUGCACCACUUCAUUUGCUCAAGUACAAAACAGAGAUCAUUUAAUUAGUGAGAUGUGGAUCCCCAGAAUAAAGACUACUCACUUUGUUGAACAAACCAGUACUGCCUUUGAAUAAUAUGAGCAGACUGAUCUUCAGUGCUAGUGGAAGAAUUCACUCACCUUCAGCUAAGGGGCACUUUGCUCAGCCUCUGCAAAUUCCUACUGCCCAGAGCUGCAUGGGUUCUGAUUCCAAGGAGCCUCAGGAGGAUCCUUCCCAGACCUUCCUCAGUAGAGCCAUGAUUUAUCUCAUAUAUAGUACAGCCUUACUGUGUUUUUAUGGCUUCAUCAGUUCCUUCUUGCUAACAAGUACACUGGUCAAUCAACCUACUGCUCACUCAUUAAAUCAGCUGUAAGACCUCCAGGGCUCAUUUUGUACACACCAAAUCCAAAACAUUAUUUGUGAAGAUCCUGGCAGAAGGGAGCUCAUAGCAACUUCUAGUUCCCAUGGAAAGUUGACAAAUAUGAGCAAGUUAUCAACGUAUUUCCACAGCAGUUCUAAAUUCAUCCUUAUCAUUCCUGUGCACUCUUCAAGUAUUGCUAUAUAACAAAAGCUAAAAAUAAAAAAUCCAAGGUCUGUACUGUGUAUUAAAUGUCCUUUUUAUAUAACCUCCUUCCAGCCUACAAACAUUCCCAGCUGUAAAUUCACUGUUCUCCAGCUCUGCAUGGGAUAUCCAUGCACCCAGCCCCACUGUUGGCAUUGUAACCCCAGCAUCCAUCACACACACAAGCAUUUCUCAUUCAUAGAGAAAAUUGUGAAACAUUUGCAGGUUUUUACAGACUUCUCUCCUGCCUCAGAGAAGCCAGCCAGACCUAGGUUUCCCAGCCAUAAACUAGGGAACUACACAAGUGCACCAGCAGCCAGGGCAGGAAGGUCAGUGUGUGCUGUCUCACACAUUUGCCGAUUCUUUGAUUUUCACUGCUUGAGCUUUGACUCCCUCACAUACUCCCAGGAGACGUUUUGAUUUCCUUCCUGCUCCAUCUCCCUACUUUCCAGUCACUGCUAAGUUAUUUAACGUAUUAAAGAUACUGGUAAUACUACUGACACAUCAGCAGAGUUAAGUAGUGAGCAAGCACAAGGGCUUCAAAAGUAUCGUGGUUACCAUGCUUCAAGCCAAGCAAAGAACUUAGUGUUCAUCUUUAUGAGGGGAGUUUUUAUUUACCAAUACUCCCCAAAACUAUUUUUAGUAACCUUGCAUUUCCAUCAGCACGUACAAGCACUGUUUGUGUUAUACCAUUAAUAAAUACAAAAGAAAAAGAGCUUUUCCCACAACAGCCUUUAUGGGCUACUUUUAAUUAAAAUCAGUUUAAUGAUUGAUAAGCUCUAGUAUUUCCAGCAGCAAAUCAUAAGUGGUUGACUGUUUCCAGACACAGUGAAAAAAACCUGAAAAUAAUAGAACUACAAAAGCUAGCACAGUUAGUUGGUUUACUGGUUGUCAACACAGGCAAAAUUUGAGGGUUUAACAUGUAAAUUCAAGAGCAAAAACUAAACCAGUGUUUUGUAGGAAUGAGAAAGUUCAGCUAUAUAAACUGAGGGAAUCAUUGUUUCCAAGGCUUACUUUCAGUCUCACAAAAUUACUUUUGACAUACGUCCUACAUCAGAAUGAACAAGCAGGAAUUUUCGGUAUCUGAUUAGUAUUUAGGAAGAGGAUGUCCCAUAUAUCAACUCUGUACAGUGGCUACUUGGAAAGGCUCUUCACUUGUGCCUCUUAAGCAGACGGAGGAGCGCUGCAAAUACCUGUGGCCUCGUGUCCUUCCUUUGCUCCCUGGGCUCACAGAGGCAGCAAAGGCAAUUCCAUGAGCACACAUUUGUGCAGACAUCUCCUCCUUAUAAACAGAACAAGUCAUCUGCAGCUGAUCAGCCAUACAACAAACAGAAGUUUUUUUAACAGCACAGGGAAAAUAGGAGUGAGUGAAGGGAGUGUGAAAUCCUAGAGCUCUAACAGGACCCUCCCUAGCCCCGUGUCUUCCUUGGUCACUGUCACCAAGAAUGCAGUGCUGUCUCAAACAGCUGCUGCAUCCACCUGCUUUCCUCAGCCAGUGCUGGUGGGAGGAGCAGACAACACACAGGAGGGAGCAUUUCCUCUUUUGUACUGUUAUUUUAUUUUGUAGUAAGAUCCACGUAGUAUAUAAAAUAUAACAGGAAAAACUGAACGAAGCCUAGAAAAUGAACCGAGGAGUUCAGCUGCCGAACCACUACAGCUCCACUUCUGUGGGUUCAUGAAGUCUCCAGAACUCAGGGACUGUUUGCUUGUACUAUUACAGUUCUCUAGCAUAUGAGCCUACACCAAAAGCUGAUAUGUUCCAAUUAAGCCAUAGUUAAGUGACAGAUGUAGAGGAAAAAAAAACCAAAGUGGCUUUUGUAAGCCACAGCUGCCCUUGACAGAGGUUACAAUGAUGUCUAACUAUACUGUAAUGCACAUUACAUCAAGAACCUUGAAAGAGCCUCUGAGAAAACGGCUUCACAUUAAGCAUUUUAAAGAAAGGUCAUAAAUACUGCACUGUACCAACAGUACCUCCCAAUGUCCUCCUUAUGCCUGAGGAGCUUUUGUGUUUUUUAAGAAGCUACUACAUAGAUGACACCAAACCUAGAGGUAGGUUAUAGGCCAAGGUAAGUUACAGGCAAAAAAAAAAAAAAAAAAAGAAAAAAAUCCCUUUAGAGCUAGUCACUGCACAGACUGCCCAGCAGGAAGCAAGGCAAAGUGUCAACAACUCUUUCCUCCCACCCUAAACACUGUUCACACUUAGUUCCUAGUGCCCUAAGAAUGAGAGUGGAUCAUCAGCUGCUAGUAAAUGCAGUCAUGCCAAGAGAACAGCUUGAAGUUAUUCAAGCAAAAACCUGUCACUGUGCAAAACUGGUGCACUGGACUGUCACCAACCAGACCUCCAAGCUUAGGAAGUGACCCGACAGUAGAGAACCAAGGUGUUUUUCUUUUGACUGGGAAAUACUUGAGUAACCAACAGGAGAACAUACUGCUAAGUCUACAUGGAAGAGUCAAAUACCAGCUUGUAUCAAAACUUUAGAGACCAAAACAACAAAAAAAAAAAAAAUCCCCAAAAAAUCCUAAACAACAAAAAAUUAAAAAGGUUAAAAAAAAGCACACUUUGAUGAGACCAAGUUUUUAAAAAGUUACUGUACCAAACCAGCUGCUAAAACAGCUCAUCUCCCCUAAAUCCUGGGAUCAACACAAGGUUGAUAACAAAUAUGUGUACAUUGAGAAACACACCUGCAAAUACAAUAGUUACAGCAAAUUAACCCCAAGUUUUAAUGGUGUAAUGCCUUCAGGUCACAAAACAUAGCCAAAAUGUUAAUCUUAACUCCCUCUGUGCACUAUUUGGUGAUAAUCAAAGUAAUGAUGCUGAAGAUUCAUUUUAUUUCUACUUCCAAAGGAAAAGAGUAAAUGGUUAAAUAUGUGUUCUCCAAUUUGUUCUCCACUAUACGUACACCCACACACAUACACACACCCCUCAAACUGCACUGACAUU